GACGAACGCUGGCGGCGUGCUUAACACAUGCAAGUCGAACGGAAAGGCCCUGCUUUUGUGGGGUGCUCGAGUGGCGAACGGGUGAGUAACACGUGAGUAACCUGCCCUUGACUUUGGGAUAACUUCAGGAAACUGGGGCUAAUACCGGAUAGGGGCUCCUGCUGCAUGGUGGGGGUUGGAAAGUUUCGGCGGUUGGGGAUGGACUCGCGGCUUAUCAGCUUGUUGGUGGGGUAGUGGCUUACCAAGGCUUUGACGGGUAGCCGGCCUGAGAGGGUGACCGGCCACAUUGGGACUGAGAUACGGCCCAGACUCCUACGGGAGGCAGCAGUGGGGAAUAUUGCACAAUGGGCGGAAGCCUGAUGCAGCAACGCCGCGGGCGGGAUGACGGCCUUCGGGUUGUAAACCGCUUUCGCCUGUGACGAAGCGUGAGUGACGGUAAUGGGUAAAGAAGCACCGGCUAACUACGUG
rnacentral:rRNA from 1 species